CUGCCUUCGCUCUGGUGCCCGGCCGGCCUGCGCGCUGCCUCGUGGGCCGCCGCCGCCUUCGCCCCCGUCUCGCUCCCGUUCCCGCCCGCCGAGCCGCGCUCUCUCCCGUCCCCGGGGCCGCCCUGCCUCCGCGGCCCCCCAUUCAUUGUCCUCCCGCCCCCGCGCGGCCUCCCCCGUCUCCCCUCCUUGCAUCCGUCUCGGGGAGGGGGAGGGGGAGGGGGCCCUCCGGCUCGCGGUCUCUGGCUCUCCUCCCUUCCCGCUUCCACCUUCCUCGGCGUGGAAGUGCUCCCGUUUCCUGCUCCCCCCACCCCCACCCCCGGCCGCCCUUUCCGAGCCGCCGCCGCCCUGGAGCCCUCCGCGGGAGCCGGGAAAGGGGCUCGAAUCCCAGCCCCGCGGGGCGCCUGCUGAUGCUGCAGGGAUGAGCAAGAGGAAGAAUCCUGCCUAAGGGGCCAGUCUCUCGCCUGACCUAAAGGUGCUGCUCCUAUGCUCUGCUCAUUCCUCAGCACUGGAUGCAGGUUGGGAGCUUCAAUGUGUUAUCCCACACACAGCAUGGAGGGAGAGAGGGCGAAAAUUGGGGUCAGUGGGUCGGAAGAGCUGUGUUAUAACUAGCAUGGUGGAUUUGGAAUUGGGAACUUAGGACUCGUUUAAAAUUGAUUUUUAGCCUUGCUAAACCUCAGCUCCUCUACAAUUGGGGAUGAUACUAUCUGUAGUACAGGGUUUUACAAAUGACAAUCUACAAAAUGCUUUGUGAAAUUUACAUAAUUAUAUCGAUAAUUAUUGUCUUUCAGGAGGACCUGACAAUAUCUUGUUCUCAGUGGGCUUGCCCCAAAAAGGUUGUUCCUGUGGUAAACCAUUCAAUGCCUUAUUUCCAAUGUCAAUUCCAAUAAAAUACCGUACACAUCUUUUUCUGUGCCUUACUUCUUCCACCACAACAGCACAUCCAGCACUUCUCAGUUCUAUUUUUUUUUCUUGAACCAUUAAUAAAUACUUGACACAAUUGUCCCUUUUUAAGGAUAACCUCUUUCUUUGUUCCCAUGUUCCAAAAUCAUGCAACCUGAUGGACUAGCAAAGAUCUGAACGCUAUACGGUUUCCCUUUGUUGUCUCUAACCCUCAGCUAGGAGGAGGAAGGACAAUGACAAGGAGGCCCAGGAGAGGAAAGAGGUAUCGCCCAGUUAUAAACCCGUUCUUUCCUGCCUCCACCCUCACACGCGGCUCUGAGCCCCUGGUGGCCAGAAACUGCCUGUAUUCCCAACUUAGCUGAAUUCAGGCAAGAUGCUGCUCUCUUACUGUUACUACUUGGGUAAAGCUUUGGCACUAAUGUUUUCCCCUCCAAACAUUACAUCAUGUUGACUUUCCUGGGACCUGUUUUAUUCUCCUAAUAGAAUGUAAAUUCAAGGACAGGGAUUAUCUCAUUUUUGUUUUUUUGUCUUAUCUUCAGUGCCUGGCACAGCAGAGACAUUUAAUAAGUGUUUGUUGAAUUAAUAAAGACAUGGCAGCUGGAGAAUAUGAGGGGCAGAGGCUUGAUGGUUGGUUGAGAAGGGUCACGGGCUGUCCAGUCACAGGUCCUCACUUUCUGUGGGUACCACUUAACACCGGACCCGGCUGGCCCUCCGCCUCUGUUCCUGCCCCUUCAUAUCUCGUCGGC
ensembl:lncRNA